GGAAUUUUUCCAGCUUCUGCUCCUCUGUUGUGCUGUGUCAACCACCAAGUUGUGCCAGCUGAGAAUUGUGGUCUCAGGUCUCCAUCCAGAUCUUUGGUUGUGUGGCCACAUGGAUUCAGGCAGCUGAACUUGAGCAUGGAGGCACAGGCUUUCCCUCUAAGGGUCUCAGGAAGACCACCAAACAUCAGGGGAAACCGAGGCUGAGGUCUACAUGCAACAGUGUUUGAAGAGCAUGAGAACACACUGAGACCAGCAGAAAGGAGCCCUCUCUGAACCGCUUCAUUACAUCUGUACCUCAAACCUAAUGAAGAGGAAUGCUGAUCCAGUUGGUGGGACUCACAUGGACUGAACUUUAAGAAUCAUAUUCAUUGAAAUUUGAGCAAAUUACCAGUAGAUGAUGGCCUUGCGACUUUUCCACAGG